ACAAGUGGUCGAUCGGCCUUUUGGCUAAGAUCAAGUGUAGUAUCUGUUCUUAUCAGUUUAAUAUCUGAUACGUCCCCUACCCGGGGACCUUAUAUUAAAUUGAUUUUUGGAUCUGGGAGAUGGAAUAGGGGCUUGCUCCGUCCACUCCGCGUAUCGACCUGGUAUUGCAGUACCUCCAGGAACGGUGCACCCCCU
ensembl:snRNA U2 U2 spliceosomal RNA